GUUCUUAUGUCACACAGAGUCUGGACUGUUUUCAUGCACUCACACUGAAAACUGCUCCACAAAGAUGUCGCCACUCACUUUGCUUCUCUUGCUGGGUUUUCUGAGUCAAGAGUCUUCUGCCAGCAACUUCCUGACUCAGACUGACAAAGUCAUGUCUGUUAGUGUUGGAGGGACUGUGAACAUCAGGGCCACAGGGAGUUCAAAUAUUGGUGCUGAUCUCAGUUGGUAUCUUCAGAAACCUGGACAGGCUCCAAAACUUCUUAUAUACUCUGCAUCAACUCUCUACACUGGAACUCCAUCUCGAUUCAGAGGCAGCAGAUCUGGUUCUGACUAUACUUUAACCAUCAGUGGAGUUCAGACUGAAGAUGCUGGAGAUUAUUACUGUCUCGGUAACCAUGGUGGAGCGUUCACUUUUGGUGGAGGAACCAAACUCGACAUUGACUUGGGUGUGGUGCAGCCCACGCUGAGUGUCCUCCCCCCCUCCAGUAAAGAGCUGGAGCAGGACAGUGCCACAGUGCUGUGUGUGGCCAGCGGGGGCUUCCCUUCAUCCUGGAGCCUCGGCUGGAGGGUGGGGGGAAGCAGCAGCUCCUCUGGGGUGUCACACAGCGUGACGCAGGGCAGCGACGGCCGCUACAGCUGGAGCAGCACCCUGAGCCUCUCUGCAGACCAGUGGAGGAAGAGCAGGUCAGUGACCUGUGAGGCCACUCUGAGUGGACAGAGUCCCAUCACUCAAACCCUGGACCCCGACCUCUGCUCGGUGUAGAGCUUCAGCAGCACUUCCUGUCUGAAACGAGGCCGUUUCAGUGUCAGAGGUCACAGCGAAGCUGCAGAUCUGCUUCACGUUUCUGCAAAAUCACAACUUUGGGUUUUUUUCCCCAACGCAUGUGUGUGUGUGCAGCUUUCUCUAAUUUUAUUCACGUUCAGCUUCUCACUUACUUUGAAACUGUUUAAAUUUUGAUUGUAAAAUAAACAGCAUCUUUGCAACAA